ensembl:lncRNA
GGAAGGAAGAAAGUGGAGCGCAAGGAGGCAGCCGCAGCUGUGCUGCUCAGGCUCCAGAUUGCCCAUCCAGGCUCCGCGUCUCUGCGCACGCCCCCACCCCCACCACCGCCGUCUUGAACUGAGCGUCGAGUGCAGCGCUUCUGCACCCGGUCCCAAGCUGAGCUGUCCGCACACUCCACAUCUGAAAUGCCCAGUGCAAGGCCUCUGCACGCAGCCCCCUACAAGCAGGUGAAACCAGAUGAAGCUCGAAGGAGAAAAGGGUGUUUGGAGGCCAUCUAAGUGGAGCUACCCAGCAAGCAGUUGCCUGUGCAUAUUUGGAGACAAGGAGAUCUGAAAGAGAUGCCUAGAUUUGGGAGCCAUGGUAUACUGCUAGUAUUAACUCCCUGGUGGUUGGUGAGAUAAUCCUAGGAGGAGGUGCAGAAGCAGGAGUCACAAACUCAAAUGGUUACGGUGGGCAGGCAAGUUGUGGAGAUGAUGAAGCCUAGAGGACUUCGGAGUCAAGAGAUGGAAGGAACCAGGAUCCCUGUAUCAGUGUUUGGAAUAAAGCGACCUACCAACCAGGAUAUCUGCUUUUGACUAUUGUGUCAGAGAAAAAUAAACCUUUGUUACAUUUGAGCCAUUAUACAUGCUUAACUCUAUUAUUACUA